GCGGCCGCGCCCGGGGCUACGAGGCGAAGGCGGCGACCCAUCGCGGGCCCCCCGGGCUCUUCCCUGACGCCUGGACCUGCGGCUGCGAAUCAAAGCUGCUUGGAACCAGGUCUGCUCAGCUCUGAUGGCAAAGGACGGAGCCGAAGCACAGUCAGGACUUUUCAUGAGAGGACUAGGCAGGGCUCACACACUGCUGCUGUGUGCUUUCUUGCCCCUGUUUCCCAGACACCGAUCCCAUCGGGGUGAAGGGAAAGGAAGUGUCCACCCAGAACUCCUCCUAACUUUACUCCUUUUGGCAGCUUCUCUUGUUUUAUCUUCUCUCUGUGGAAUAACCUUUAGAACAGGCUAACAUCAACCCCGGAACUCCCUGCCUAAAAGGAGUUUGGAUAAGUCAGUUGAAAUGCAUUUGAGUCUCAAGAAACAGAAGGCUCAGACAGUUGCCACCACUGUGAAGACUUGCAUCUCACAUG
rnacentral:lncRNA from 1 species